ensembl:lncRNA
AAAGGCCAUCCCAACAGCUCCUAACAGAGCUACUCUUGCAUGUACAUAGGACAACUAAAACACAUAGAAAGGCCGCAGAAUGAGAUACCAAAGGGAUGACUUUUACCUGACUGAAACUGGGCAGCCCCAGAGAUGUGGCAUGCUGAUUUUCCCAGGCUGCUUCCCGUAGCUGGCCAGAUAAUACAUCUUCGGAGCUGAGGAAAGCUGAGAGAACUGAGAGGAACUCCAUGAUUGUUCUGGGGCAAAAUACAAAGAAUGAAAACAUAUGGCCUUUCUGAUAAGCCAAGUUAAAGGGGACAAGGAAGGAGAAGUGGGAUCAGUGAUGGACACAAAAUGGAAGAGCCCAGGGGUGCUUUGUGCAGCUCUGUGCACCCAGCAUCCUCCGGCUGCUGGCAGAGCAACGCUGAUUUGAACGUUGGAAGGGAAAGAAGGAAUGGGGAGGUGGAUAAAGGUCCAUGGAAAGAUGCAUGCUCAGCUACCUAUGGCUUUGCUCCUGAACCUGCCACAUACUCAAAAGCCACAGAGAAACUUGCAGCCAGCAUCUUGGUGCCAUAACCAGGAGAGGCUUUUAAAUGAGACUUGGUAAUUAAUUCUUCCUCCUAUCUGUGCUAGGAACAGUACUACCUGAACCACCAAAGCUUUUAAAUUAUCAUUGCUUCCUGGGGACCUCCUACAGCUGAAAUGAACUUCAGCCUCACAGUGUCCAGAGGAGCACCAUACCUAUUGCCGGGUGCAGAGAUGGCCAUUGGGAGUGCAGCCACCUCCCUCAGGGCUGGGUGCUGACCUGCAGGCUGCUUGCCCCCCAGCACACUCCUCCCUUGCCAGCAGCACCUCUCCAGCUAUGCAGUUUUGCUCAAAUGCAACAGGAACAAGAGUCUGUAAGGCCAAGCUCUCCCCCAGGGCCAUCCACAAACCCACCAUCAGCUGCACCUUCUGCAAACACUCCUUGACUUCAGUGCCAUCCUAAUGCAGAAGUCAACAUGAUGAAUGGCACUGCAAGAAUUGGCUGUUAGAGAGUUGGGAGGGUACAUCCACGGCAGCAUCUCAGUCACCAUGCAGCCCAGCUCUCCGCCAGGCUGUGCUACCUGUCUUCCAGAAGAACAAGGCUGCAAGGAUGAGUUACUCACAUACACCUUCUAUAUUCUGCAUCUUUCCCCCUAGGACUAUUCUUUUAGUCCUCAUAAGCUUUUUGUUGUUUGUUUUUAAUGCUAUAGCCAUGCUUGGUGGGUGCCUUACUGCCAUGUUUCCACAGAGCUCAGAACUGACAGCAUCUGCUUCUGAAGGUGCUGUAGCUGCUGCAGUGAUCUGUGCACCAGCUCCUACCAGCAAAAGAAUUUAUGCCUAUGGUGUAAAGAUUCAAGCAAACCAACUUGCCUCUUGUUAUAGGGGCAUGCUACUCCCCUGAAUUGCAAUAUAACUGUCAAUCAGGCACAGGCUAUUUAAAACCCCUUCUGGUCCAUCCCUGGGAACUGAUAUUUCAGAAGAUGACAGUAACUUGCUAACUUCAGCAGGUGCAGCCCUUCAGCAGCAGGUGCAGCCCCUUCGCUCACCCACAGCAGCUGGAGCCCUCCAAGGCAGAGCAGGAUCUCUUCUGAGAUUCUCUGAGCCCAGUUCUAGCAGCAACACAAAGCAACGAGUUGUUGCUCACUAGAACAACAGAUCAUGUUUACUCAGUGCAAGUAUAAUUUGCAGGCGAAGGUCAGUGUAGCUGCUGUUAUUUAGCAUCUAAAAAAAAAAAAAAAACCAUUUGUGCUGACUCACGGUUAGUACCCUGAACUAGGUGCUGUGUUUAAUAUUUCAGUUGUCAUUAAUUAUAGCUGCUGUUGUGAGACAUGGUUAUUCACUGUAUAUCUUGCUAGCUUUAUCCAAAGCUAGAGAUAUUUAUGACUUGAUUAUUCUGUGAAUAGUCUGUAUAUCUCCAUAACUCCCAGGGGCUAAAAAUCCUGCCCCAACUUACACUCUCCACCUGUACAGACACUAAGGAAUGUGAAUCAGUGCAGAACUGGACUUGCAGGGUUUCAAGAGAGUCAUGAAAUGGUGUUUUCCCCAUCCCCUACUCUCCUCACAUUAUAGGUGUUACGGUUUUUAAAAUAAAGAUGAACUAGCACUCUUUUUAUUACAGCAUUAUAUGAAAUAUAUUCGUGUAUUUUCAAAACUAUAUUUAUAACAUGUAACAUACUGUAUAGUUCUCCACUCCAAGAUAUGCCUGCAUUACAAUUUAGUAAGUUUAAUAAUAAAAUCAUCACUUACAAAAUAACUGGUUUCAGAUCUCUCAUUAAUGAAGACCAGGGAUGGAGUACAGUUACUGCUGCACG